rnacentral:rRNA from 1 species
AGCUCCAAUAGCGUAUAUUAAAGUUGUUGCAGUUAAAAAGCUCGUAGUUGGAUCUCAGGCUUGGGCAGGUGGUCCGCUUCACGGCGGCUACUGCCUGUACCGACCUACCAUCUGGUUUUCUCUUGGUGCCCUUGAUUGGGUGUCUCGAGUGGCCAGAACGUUUACUUUGAAAAAAUUAGAGUGCUCAAAGCAGGCGAAUGUCUGAAUAGUUCAGCAUGGAAUAAUGGAAUAGGACCUCGGUUCUAUUUUGUUGGUUUUCGGAACUUGAGGUAAUGAUUAAGAGGGACUGACGGGGGCAUUCGUAUUACGGUGUUAGAGGUGAAAUUCUUGGAUCGCCGUAAGACGAACUACUGCGAAAGCAUUUGCCAAGAAUGUUUUCAUUAAUCAAGAACGAAAGUAC